UAGGGAGUAUUGCUUAAUGGGCGAAAGCCUGAAGCAGCAACGCCGCGUGUGUGAAGAAGGCCUUCGGGUUGUAAAACACUUUUUGAGGGGAUGAGGAAGGACAGUACCCUCAGAAUAAGCCUCGGCUAACUACGUGCCAGCAGCCGCGGUAAAACGUAGGAGGCGAGCGUUAUCCGGAUUUACUGGGCGUAAAGCGCGUGCAGGCGGCACGGCAAGUUGGAUGUGAAAGCUCCCGGCUUAACUGGGAGAGGUCGUUCAAAACUGCCGAGCUAGAGUGCGGGAGAGGGAGGUGGAAUUCCGGGUGCAGUGGUGAAAUGCGUAGAUAUCCGGAGGAACACCAGUGGCGAAAGCGGCCUCCUGGUCCGCAACUGACGCUUAGACGCGAAAGCUAGGGUAGCAAACGG
rnacentral:rRNA from 1 species